rnacentral:rRNA from 1 species
GAUGAACGCUGGCGGCGUGCCUAAUACAUGCAAGUCGAGCGAACGGACGAGAAGCUUGCUUUUCUGAUGUUAGCGGCGGACGGGUGAGUAACACGUGGAUAACCUACCUAUAAGACUGGGAUAACUUCGGGAAACCGGAGCUAAUACCGGAUAAUAUUUUGAACCGCAUGGUUCAAAAGUGAAAGACGGUCUUGCUGUCACUUAUAGAUGGAUCCGCGCUGCAUUAGCUAGUUGGUAAGUUAACGGCUUACCAAGGCAACGAUGCAUAGCCGACCUGAGAGGGUGUUCGGCCGCACUGGAACGGGAACACGGUCCAGACUCCUACGGGAGGCAGCAGUAGGGAAUCUUCCGCAAUGGGCGAAAGCCUGACGGAGCAACGCCGCGUGAGUGAUGAAGGUCUUCGGAUCGUAAAACUCUGUUAUUAGGGAAGAACAUAUGUGUAAGUAACUGUGCACAUCUUGACGGUACCUAAUCAGAAAGCAACGGCUAACUACGUG